rnacentral:lncRNA from 1 species
ACCAGGCUUCGCAACAGCGACUGGCAGCGGCUCCCUGCUACACGGGGCUUACUCCCCCAGCUCUGCCGGGGGCUCCACUCCCAAGCGGCUCCCCGUUUUCCUUCACUCACGGUGUCUCCUUUCCCCGGAUUCCUGGGUUCAACCUUGAUUUUCACCCAUUGUCUCGCUUCCUCCUAGCCAGCCUUCUAACCCCACCGAACUGCUGCGCAUUGACAUUUACAAACGCACGCUUUAGGUAGAAUAAACCGGCACCGCCCUAUUCCCUACAGAAUGUUCAGGAAGGAUCUAGACAAGGGGACCCAGGCAGUCCCCGGGCCUGAAGGACGCAACUGGGAACCGGAGUGGAGUAACCCGGGUGCAGCGCCAGGCCACAGCCUGUAAACCUUUCUAAAAUUACUCUCUCAUCAAGGGUCUCUGAGGCCCUCACCUUCGAAAAUUUCAGGUCAACAAGAUGGCGUCUGAGCACUUACUUGGUGCCAGGCAUAAAAUAGCCCAGAUCCCGGCCCUGGUGGACUCCGCAUAACGAGGACGGCAGACAGAAAUCAAAUAACUAUAAAAAUAAACUUUAAAGUGUCUGAAGUGCUCCAGAGGAAAACUCAAAGGGCUCUAAAAGCAAAUAACACAUCCUGGGUAUGUGAUGGCAUGAACUUUCCCAACAGCCCGGGAGUUUAGCCUGGUUAAGGAAGUGGCACCGUUAUGCCUGCGGGGAAUCGCCCUGAAGCGUGGGUGCGGGCGCAGCGGGGCUGCGGGAGGCCCCGGCAUCACACAGCCCACAGGCUCCGGGAAAACGCAAGAGCGGAGGCGACCGCUUAGGCCCCGGCUCUCACCCCCGUCCUGGUAAAUUGAUGCAGCCCUGCCUGCUGCCACCAUUCAAUACGCCUGGUGUCUUCCGCAGCAGCAGAAAAACUGACCCUGGAGAAUUUAAGCAGAAAAGUAUUCCCUGCAUUUCUCAAACAACCUGGAAAGACGCGAGAACUGCGCUCAGAAAACUGCAAGAAAUGCGGCAGCCCAGGUGGGAGGAGUCCAGCCAAAAUCACAGCAGAAGCGGAAGCCGGGAAAAGGAGGAUGAUUUGGAGCGCUCCAGAGCUGGAAGGCUUCUCAGGGGUCAUUGCUCAUGACUUCCGUGGGUCCCUUACUCUAGUCUGUCAAAGCAGAAGUCAGCAUUUCACUCUCGAUAACUACUGCAUACAAG